CAUGGACCAUCUCUAGAGAGAAUAUAUUUUAUUUUAUUUUAUAUUCUCUAGAGAGAAUCUAGAGAAUAUUUGUUCUUAGUCCUUGAGGAGAGGAUAUCUGUGUUCUGUAAGUGUUUCUCUCUACUGUCUCUACCCUCUCUACACCAUCUCUGAGUAUCUCUUCUCUAGAGAGUAGAAUAUCUCUUUCUUCUACCUUCUGCACAUCACCAUGGACUAUCUCCUAGUUUAGAGGAUAUCUCCUGGGACACCACCCACCAUUACAUCCUACUCACCUCCCUGGUUGAAUGGAAACUUUCAAAGGAAAUCGUCAAUAAGAGGUAGAAUAUUAAAACCGUGUUGUUAACAACGGCGUGAGAAGACUGACCAUUCAAGAGUGGAUCGAUUUCUGGUCCCAGUCCAUCCCUCCUGGCCGGUGUUUACUGAACUGCAUCAGAUUUCACAUCGAAAAUCAGCUAGAACAGCUGCUGCACAUAGAGCUGUGACAUCUAGAACAGCUGCUGCACAUAGAGCUGUGACAUCUAGAACAGCUGUUGCAGUUAAGUCUGAAGGUGACACCCAAGUGGCCAUCGUUCAAAACCAAUCCUUUUUUUUUUUUGCCCCAGGCAUUUGGCAAAUUUAGGACUCGUUCUUGCCCCCAAAAUGCUUAUGUGUUGACACAAUUAUUAAGAAAGUAUAAUUAAAAUGUAUGUUUGCUUUUAAUAAAUGUCAUUACUGGGAGUAUUGUGUGAGUCAGUAGAAUAGAACUCUCAACUGAAAUUGUUUUAUAUGAAUUACUUGAAGAAUAUACAACAGGAGUGUCUCGGUGUGUAUUUGCACUGUAGUAUUCAAAAUUCUGUUCGCAGGUUCUUCAGAAAUCCUGGUUGGAAGAUUCCCACUAUCAGGAGCGAAUAAGCAGAAAUCUGGGAUCCCUCCAACCAGGAUUUCGCGACCUUAAUUUGCAGUGUGUUCAAUCAGUCUAGAAUGAGAUCUCUAAAGCCUCGUUCACACUGCAGGCCUUAAUGCUCAAAUCAGUUUUUUGUUUUUUUUUCAAGUCCGUUUUAGAAGACCUUUUUGUCAAAACAGCAAGUUGCAACUGACCAAAUCAGGUGUGUGUGUUCAGACGGAAGUCAUUUGCUCACAUGGCUAUGCUAGUUGUCAUAGUAACGACGGGUGUGUGUGUGCACAGGUGUUUAGGCUGAUUAGUGGUGGUGCUUGUGCUUCCUAUCACUCAGAAGUUAUGACAACAAUGGAUAUUUCCCCGUUGCUCUGAAUGUCCAAAAUCAAAAUGUAAGUACACUUUUAGAUGAACCAACUUGAAAAAACGAGUCCUUUUUUUUGUUGUUGUCUAGCCACAGCAGUCAACUAGCUAGCGGUUAACUAUUUUGUUUGAACAAUUAACACGCUAGUUAGCCUGAACAUGUCCCUGUGGAACUGUCAACAGAGCAGCUGGCAAACACGCGCAGUACCAGUCAAAGGUUUGGACACCAACUCAUUCCAGAGUUUUUCUUCAUUUAUUUUUGUAGAAUAAUAUUGAAGACAUCAAAACUAACUAAAUAACACACAUGGAAUCAUGUAGUAACCAAAAAAAGUGUUAAACAAAUCAAAAUAGUGACUUUAAAAACCACUUGACGCCAAAUACAUCAGACAAGUCACAUGGCCAAGUUUGUUUGAAAUGUGGCUGCAAGGAAAAAUAACAUUUGAAUCAGAUAUGCACAUUUAUUUUUGAGUAACUAAAAACUGGCAAUGUGAACAAGGCUUUCCUGUCUUCCAGAAUGGGUGAAAUUAUGUUCAGAUUCGUUCAGACAAGAUGAAUACUAGUAGUCUUUUGGGCAGAAAAAAAAAGUUGCAUCAUAUGUAUUUACAUAUUAGAGGAAGUAUUCAUACCCCUUGACUUAUU